rnacentral:rRNA from 1 species
UACGUAGGGUCCGAGCGUUGUCCGGAAUUACUGGGCGUAAAGAGCUCGUAGGUGGUUUGUCGCGUUGUUCGUGAAAACUCACAGCUCAACUGUGGACGUGCGGGCGAUACGGGCAGACUAGAGUACUGCAGGGGAGACUGGAAUUCCUGGUGUAGCGGUGGAAUGCGCAGAUAUCAGGAGGAACACCGGUGGCGAAGGCGGGUCUCUGGGCCGAUACUGACGCUGAGGAGCGAAAGCGUGGGGAGCGAACAGG